UGGGGAAUAUUGGGGCAAUGGGACGAAAGUCUGACCCAGCGACGCCGCGUGAGGGAUGAAGAUCUUCGGAUUGUAAACCUUUGUCAACAGGGACGAAGCAAGUGACGGUACCUGUGGAGGAAGCCACGGCUAACUACGUGCCAGCAGCCGCGGUAAUACGUAGGUGGCGAGCGUUAUCCGGAAUUACUGGGUGUAAAGGGUGUGUAGGCGGGGAGGCAAGUCAGAUGUGAAAACUAUGGGCUCAACCCAUAAAGUGCAUUUGAAACUGUUUCUCUUGAGUGUCGGAGGGGUAGAUGGAAUUCCUUGUGUAGCGGUGAAAUGCGUAGAUAUAAGGAAGAACACCAGUGGCGAAGGCGAUCUACUGGACAGUAACUGACGCUGAGGCGCGAGAGCGUGGGGAGCAAACAGGAUUAGAUACCCUGGUAGU
rnacentral:rRNA from 1 species